GUGGGAGUCCAGGGACAUAACCAGUAUGCCAUCUGCUGAUCCCAAAUACUAUGUUUUCUUUUGUUUGUUUGUUUUGUUUUGUUUUUAUUUUUUCUGGAAUAUUUUCCUUUUUUGCUGUCAACACUUACUGAUUUAUAAGACUACAUUUUUCCAGAAAGGAUUUUCUGCAUUUCUUGGAUUUGCCCACCUGCCUACCUGCUGAUCCUCACCCCCUGCAAACCUCUAUGUUUCUUGUCUCUUUCAGUUAUUUGCCAAUUUGAUGAAAAUCUUAGGUGGUGGUGGUGGUGGUGGUUGGGGGUGGGUCAGGGUUCAAUUAACAUAUAAGUAAGCAACGUAACAAAUUCUGUUAGGUUAUCUACUCUGCGAAGCCUUUUGCUGGUUUAUAUGCUACUCCACAAUCCUGCAGAGCAGGGGACUGGCAAACUGGCCUGUAAGCUAAAUUGGCGUUUACACUUUUAAAGGGUGGAAUGUUUUUAAAAAGGAAGGAUGUCGCAGAGACUACGUGGCCUACCAAGCCUAACAUGUUCAUAUCGAGCCCUUUAGAGAACAUGUUGGCCAGCGCUGUGAGACCAGACUUGCAGGGCCUGCGGUAACCGAGCAGAACGCCUUCCUGAAGCCCUCAGAGGACCUCGAGUCAUACUUUGUGGAACUGGAGAAAACGAGUGUUUGGGCCUUUCUUCCAGGGAUUCAAAAAUGUGCUGCUGGACUUUAAGACAGGAAGACUCUUUGCCUCAAUGCUGGUAAUCGAAGCCACUCUCCCACCACCAUCUACUGAGGAUUUACUGCGUGAUCACUUUCUGGGUACCCAAGUGCUCUCUCCAGAUAACGCAGGAAUGUAGGUACCCUGUUUAUUCCCAUUUUCAGAUGAACUGCAGGAGGGUAAGUAACUGCCCAGCUUGCUCAGUGGAGCACCCUGUCUGCAGAGCGAUCCUAGGCACGGGGCGUGGGCCUCUGUGGGUGUCGUCAGGUAUCCUGGAGUCCAGACUAGUCGGUGGAGCUGCUCGUUUCUGCAGACGCCCAGCAUGCAGCCUUGCCUUACUUAAGGUGAGGUUCCUGGAUCAGCAGCACCUGGCAGCUUCUCCAAAAUGCAGAGCGUUGGGAGACCUGCAGAUGUUCACACCACAUCUGUUCGCGAAGUGCUCUCUCUGCUACUGGGGAAGAAUACCUCCCUUUCCCUCUAUUCGUCCUCUUUGUUUAAUCUUGACCAGUAAUUUUUAAGUUAUUUAAAGGUAACAGAUACUAGGCUGGCCCCAUAAUGUAGGAGUUAAAGGAGCUGGAUUUCACGUGGCCAACUAUGGUUAAAAUUCUGGCUCCAGUGGCUUGAAAAACACACUGGGUGUGUGUGCACACAUGCCCUAAAUCCUGACAGAAUGGAGAAGUGGAGAAGAGAUUGUGUGUGACUGCUCUCUGUGGGGGAGUGGUCUUUCUUUCCCCCUCCUUCUCUCUUGCUCUCUGUCAAGCAUAAAAAAACUGGCAACUUAAAAAAAAAAAUAUGGGGCCUACAGUGGUGUCGUAGUCAAAGUGCUGGACUCCCAUAUGGCCAACUAUGGUCUGAGUCCUGGACCUGGAGGCUUGAAGCUCACGCCAGGCGUGGGUGCAUUUAUUCCCAAAAUCCGUAGAGAAAGAAGGGAUCAGAGCCUGGCCAUCCCUCUGGGGAGUCAUUUCUCACUUUCUGUCUCUGUCUCUCCAGCAAGUGCAUGCGCCCUAUUGCAAAAAUAUCUCUAAAAACAAAAACAGUUAUUGAAAAAUCACAAUAUCUCAGAAUGUCUUACCGGGAAGUACUCAAAGCCACAGAACCAGAAGAAUAUUAUGAUUUCUGCUAUCUUUGAAUUACUUUUCAGAAAUUAAAAUUCUAACAUGUAAAAAAUGCUAGGCCCAGGUGAGCCCUGGGGACCUGAGUGGUCUCCGCUUCAGUUGCUGCCAGGUUCUGUGUUGGGCUGUGCUCCCAUGUGGGACUGCAGUGCAACCCGGAGCCACCCUAUAGCAUACGCCUCUUGGCCGGAGAGGCAGAGUGAGAACCAAGCUGUCAACAGCCCUGGUUCCUGCCAAAGCCCAUUUGUCUGCCUGCCAGCCAGGAUUCUAAAAAUGCAUUUGAGAUUUUUGACUUUCGACUUUUAUUGAAUGUGAAGUUCUGCUACGUAUAUAUAGUCUUGGUGAGUGUACCCGUUUAGGGAUUGCUGUUGUAUUUUGUCUUACAAGACAUAGAUCCAUUCCUGGGUGAGGUAAGAACUAGGCCACUGGGAGGGGCUUCCUCCCCUGCUCAACCCCCACCUCCCCUGCCUCGUCCCUGCACUGCCCUGUGUGUAGGUCCGCAUUCUGAAACUCCCAUUCAGUCUGCAAAAUACUAUAGGACUAGAGGUGAAGUCCUGUAGUGUUUUGAUGUGUGAGUAGCAGCGAUGUCGGCAUAUGAGCAGGCUUUGUAACAGGCUGUGGGGCUGGGGUGUUCCCAGGCUUGUAUAACUUUCUGGUCCCCCAAAAGGGGCAACAUGAAAAGAUUGAAAUGGAGGGUCACUAAAUGCUGCCAUUUCUGUCCACAUUUUAUUACUUUGGACCCAGUGUUACAAAAAAUUAAGCUGUUCAAGAUGAGUAUCAACUAUGGCAAGAGAGUAUUACAGUAGCAGUACUGUGUCUUUGUAUUUGGAAAUCAGAUCUCAGUUCGAAUCCUGGUUUCAGCAUCAGGACAAAAUCCUUACUCCAAGCCUUAUUUUUCAAAUUUCAAGUAUAGUUAGAUUUUUAUGUGUACUUUUAUCACUUAGAGACUGUAUAAUACCUGCAUUAAAAAUAGUGUUUUUUCUUUAUUUAUGGUAGGGUUUGUGUACAUACUUAUGAGAACAGGUGAGACAGAGACAGAACCCUUCACAGGGCCUGGUCAUGCGCCAUCUUCUCCCCUAGACCUCUAGCCCCUGGGAGCCCGCGUACUUGCGUGCAUGCCCAGUGAACAUGCGCAGUCUGGGCACCCGCAUGCCUGCCCACCAUGGAGGCGUCAUGUUCCUGGCUGUCAGGUGGGAUGAGGUCACUCAAGGCUUGGGUUAGGGAGCAUCCAGCAGGUCUGUGCCCUGACCUGACCUGUGAUGGACAGCACCAAGGUAAGGUGCUCCCUUCACACAACUGGAAUGUGGCUGUUCUCCCAAGUCUCCGUUUUCUGGAUUUAAGAAUAAUAAAUGGCUAAUAUAUUUACUAUAGUGGCCUCCCAGACUUUGCAAAUAUACUUUUUUUUUUUUUUUAAAUAAUUUGCCUUAUGGCCUUGUCUGUGCACCUCUGCAGCCUUCUGUUAAGUUGCAGGCCACUGAGCACAGAGCAUGGGCGUUUUUCUCGCUACAGGAGGACUUGCUUAAUAUGUGCCUGAUUUCCUUCACCUUCCAGUGCCCGCCUUGGAGGCAGAACAAGAACUUAAUCCUCCUGAGGCUUCCGAGGGGCUCCAGGGAGUCACUGAAUUCUGUAAAGAAGGGAAAGGUCAGACUCCACCGGCAGUUCAAUCAUCUGACCCUGACACUGUCAUGAAUUCCAGAACUUCCACAGUUAAAAAUAUUUUAUUUUCUUUAAGUUUAUACAAAAUACAGUCAUGUACAAAAGUGUACAUCACACUUUUCAUUCAGUUUACAGUUUACAAAAGGAAAACGGUCAUUUCAGAUGCUUUUCUGCUUACGUGUCAUGUAAAUGCUGUUCCAGGCCCAUAUUACUAAAAUCAUUUCCAUUCCUGGAGAUUUUCAUGACUGAAGAGGUGCUUUUGGUAGAGAAUCAGAUCGACCGAACCACUUUCUCAGUCGUAUCCAGGCUGGCCUGGUUCUAGCCACAAUGAGAUUUGCUAAAGACAUACCACAGCUUUGUAGUACCGUGCAGUUGUGAAGGUAAGUGACCUUUCAUUUUACCUCUGUAUCUGCGUGUCUCUAUUCUGAUCUCAGCCUCUGCACUUACAUCUGCUGGGCUCAGAAGAGUCAUGAUGCAUUUUCAAUACGAUAUUAUGAAGGCUCCUCCUCCCCUGGGACAUGAGCUCUACUUGGGAAAGUGGCCAGGGGCAGCACAGUGGCCGACACGAAAUAUUACUCUGGUUUGGAGUGUGCCUUGUCGGCCACCAUUUGUAGCAGUGGCAGUGGGCAGAUUUGAGUAUCUAAAGAUUUGCAAAUAUGUUUAGCCCAUCCUUUGACUCCGGUACCUUUUGAGGUUAAGUGGGAAAAACCAUCAAAGGGAAUUAAUGAAGGGAAGGAAAGCACAUUCUUGAUUCUGCCAGAUGCAGGGCUCUGAGGAAACUCUGUGGCAGCGUUUUAGUCUAGUUGUCUCCCUCCCCAUUGAAUUAAUCAUGUAGAUACUGAAAAAGAACAUCAUGGAGGUGUUAACCUUAGUGCAGCAACUACCAUCCCCUGCCUAGGGGAAGAAAUGCAAGAAGCAGUAUUUCAGAAUUUAGACUACCAAUCAGCUCUUCACUAAGCAGUUAAUAGUCAUAAAACUUUAUGAUUUGAUUCCUUGUAAAUCUGCGGUCAGUUCUGGAGACUGGACCCAAUUCUCUCUACUGAGACGCAGAACAACUUAACUGGCAUUAUGUUGGAGAAACCUAUUGACUUACAAGGAAUUCCAGGCCUCAUCACAUUUACAAAUGCACAUCUUCUGGGUUUUCAAGACUGCUAGCUCAGGACAUCUUGGUGCAAUAUUUAUGACAUAAGCACAACCCUGAGGCAUUUGUCCUGAGCUAGAAAUACCACACCUGGGAGCAGGCCCGCCCUGGAAGAAGCUCUUCCUCACCAUGCAAGCAGUGCAUCAGAAUGAGACAAAGCAAAAACUAUCCUGUUAUUACAAAUGGAGACAUCACAGUCUUGGCCACGAAUUCUUUUUUCUUUAACUGGCAACCAGAGGGAAGGCAUCUUAUCGAGUAGCUCAUGAUGCAUUCCACCUAGCAAUUUACAAAAGAAAAGUUCUCCAGUUAGAAAUUUGAUUUCGUCUCUCAUGGAAAUGGUCCAAGGUGGGAGAUCACUGAGGCGGUGCCGGCUUGCUUCUCCCAGCAUUGGGCAAUCCCAUACUGUCUUGGAAAACGUAAAUAGGCCCUCCUCCUAAACCUGGCACCUACACGUCUUAGAAAGCAGAAUCUGAACUAAACGAUUCAAAGAGGAGACGCAGUAACGGUAAUCAUACUUAACACAAACAUCGAUUUCCAUGUUGACACUCCAAGUGCAAAAGCGCUUAUGACGACUACAAGCUGUUGCCGCCUCUAAUUCUUAUGAUCAUAUACCCGGGUUUAUUCAUGCUUUAUCUUUACUUAUCCUUGCUAUUAAGUAACCCGUGACAUUUAUUUUGUUGGCAUGUGCUAAUAAACACACACAUUCCCAGGAGAGCAAAGGAUAAAACCCCGUUCAGAGCGUUCUGUCUGUGUGAAGCCAAUUAAGAUGCUGCCUCCAGUGCCUUGAGAUCCUAGCUGCAGACACGUUGCUGUGGAAACACACAGGCCUUUGCACCAGAUCCAGAAACCACUAACAUGCUCCAACUAGCAACUCGUGUAAACAGGGCCUUUCACCCCUUAAUUUGGGCUCCAUGCUAUGAAGAGUAUAGAUGAACACAAUUAUAAAGGAAAACACAUUUCAUACACGAUUUAGUUUACUGUAAUUUGGUGUUCUCUUUUAUUGAAUCAUACAAAUUUGAACUGGGAUUCCUGAAUAAAUCUUAUAGUUAACUUACCUUUGGCAGAUAUAACAGAUUUCAAAACAUUUAGUUCUCAGUUAUAUGUAGUUUUAAAAAAAAAAUCCUGUGGUAGUUUUUUUUUUUUUUUUUUCUCCAAAGCAAUACACUUAAAUAGAUGUGCUUUAAAAGUUAACUGGUAAUGAUUUGAUUUAUAUUCUAGCUUAUUUAUGAGAACAAUCACAAAGGACAGACUAGACAUGUAUUGCUUUUACAAAGUACAAUUUUUGGUCAUGUGAGUGAUUCAUGAUCAGAUUUCAAAAAUAGAAAACGUCCUAAAGUGCAUCAUUUUAUUUAUAAUAUAACUCCUCAAAAUUAUAGUGAUCUGCAUUGUAAACAGUACAGUGAAAAAUACCAAACUAUGUUUUCAUGUACACCGAAGUUUGUAGGGUUAUGUACCGCCUGAAAGUGUGUGGAUUAAACCAGGGCGCUGCCAACACACAGCUCAUGCUUCUGUACGCUUAUUUUAAAGAGCAGCUUAAAAGCCUUCUUUCUUCUUCACUUCCAGCUUACACCCUUUUCCCUGACGGAGGAGAGCUGCUACCUCACUUCAGCAAUGAAAGAUGCUGCUGUAAUUCCGAUCCGACGACCAUUUUUAAAACUGCCAAGUGGUCAGUACAGUUUUACAUUCUUUUCUUAUAAAAAUCAACCACAGUACCCUUUAAGAUAGACUCCAAACACAUACAGGAGGGCAUCCCUGCUGUCUGGUUUUUCUGCAGUGUUGUCUUCAAGAGGCAGGGCCUGCUGACAUUGCCUUCUCUUGGCAGCCACCUGCCCUCGCUCUCCCAAAGCCCAAGGCGGGCCCCGAGCCCACCUUCCUCAGGGCAGACGGAUAAGACGGAAAGACAAAGACAAAUCACAGCGUGAUGUCCAGCACACUGAAGAGAUGAAUGAUUUGGUGUCUUAAAUUCCCUGGUCCCUCCAACAUGUCUAAUAUAGACAGAUUGGUGACAUAGUCUUUGAAACAAUUACAGUCAUCAUUAGCCACAUCCCAUUAUUUUUCUCUUUUAAUGCAUGGUCUUGAAAAUAGU